rnacentral:rRNA from 1 species
AUUGAACGCUGGCGGAAUGCUUUACACAUGCAAGUCGAGCGGCAGCGCGGGGCAACCUGGCGGCGAGCGGCGAACGGGUGAGUAAUGUAUCGGAACGUGUCCUGUCGUGGGGGAUAGCCCGGUGAAAACCGGAUUAAUACCGCAUACGAUCGAGAGAUGAAAGUGGGAGACCGCAAGGCCUCACGCGAUAGGAGCGGCCGAUAUCUGAUUAGCUAGUUGGUGGGGUAAAGGCCCACCAAGGCUUCGAUCAGUAGCUGGUCUGAGAGGAUGAUCAGCCACACUGGGACUGAGACACGGCCCAGACUCCUACGGGAGGCAGCAGUGGGGAAUUUUGGACAAUGGGGGCAACCCUGAUCCAGCCAUUCCGCGUGAGUGAAGAAGGCCUUCGGGCUGUAAAGCUCUUUUGUCCGGGAAGAAACGGUUUUGGCUAAUAACCAAGACUACUGACGGUACCGGAAGAAUAAGGACCGGCUAACUACGUGCCAGCCGCCGCAGUAA